AAAUACACCUCUGCAAAAAAAAAACUAAAACUAUAGCGAUGAGUAAUACGGCUUUAGUCCAAACAUUUCCAGUGUUCAAACUAGAGGGUAUCAACUUCCACAUGGAAAGCAAUUUAAUUCUUGUGCAAAUGUGACAUUUUUUAAAGUGCAUUAAAGGCCAGUCCCACAGAGCAACAUAUACUAAAAUUGCUACAUAUUGAAAUUGAUAUCCCUGUG